UACGAAGGGGGCGAGCGUUGUUCGGAUUUACUGGGCGUAAAGGGCGCGCAGGCGGCCGCUCAAGUCAGGCGUGAAAGCCCCGGGCUUAACCUGGGAACUGCGUCUGGGACUGAGUGGCUAGAGUUCGGGAGAGGAGAGUGGAAUUCCCAGUGUAGAGGUGAAAUUCGUAGAUAUUCGCAAGAACACCAGUGGCGAAGGCGGCUUACUGGUCCGGUUCUGACGCUGAGGCGCGAAAGCGUGGGGAGCAAACAGG
rnacentral:rRNA from 1 species